AACGAGUCGAGCUGUGGGAGUCGGUUCAGCUGCGGGUUUCGGAUUUAGAGCCGUGAUAUGAGAGAAACAGAGAAUCUUCCAGCUCCGCUUUACUGCCUCCUGCUUCUGCUCUCUGGAGUCUCCUCUUACAAUAUUUCCUCUGGAGGUCAUCCACAGCAAAGACCAGCUGGACCAUCCGAGCCGUCACUACGCCAACCACACUUGACCACACUAAGAGGAAAUAAAAUGAUCAACGACCAACAGGAGAAACCGUGAACUCCAAAGACCACCAACUUCUCACAAAACAACCCUGAUGGUCACACAGUUCCUGUUGCAGAUGGUUCGUUUCAGGUCAGUUCAGUCCAACCUGAGCCAAACUGAAGCUCCUGCUGGACCUUCUCAACCCGAGCAGCAGAACACAGCGGUCCAUCAUGAGGAACCUCAGAAACUGGUCAGAAGAAAAUCUUUAUCUGAACCUCCUGAUAUUUCCUCACUGUCCAUUAAGGAUGGAACAGAACCCUCUACCAUCACUCAGGAGAAUCAAGGAUCUUCGGCAUCUUCAAACACCCAAACGGACACCUGAAGCAGAGACACAGUCCAGCAAGACUGUAGUGGGGUUUAUCCAGGGUGGGCAGGAUGUCAGUUCUCAGUGGAAAUUCCAGAGACAGUGAGUGGUGUGAACUGAGCCAUGUGCAGGUGAACAUUUGGAGAUGUUGUGGCGGUAAUGAUGAUCUGUAAGUACCUGAAGGUGCUCUUGGAUGAUGGACAUGACUGGACUGCUGACAUUAUGACUGAACUAAAAGGAGCUGCAGGUUCUUGUCACUUGGAGGCGCUGUUGGACUGUAAUCAGGCUCUACAAUCAGGGACAAGUCAAGAGACUGUUACUACUGUUAAACUAGAGACAGUACAGUAAAUAUGAUGAUUAAAACAGACAUUAGAGACCGUAAACAGACUGGACAGUGGACAGACUCAUCACGGUCAUUCAGGGUCCCUGGGCAUGUUAACAGCACAAUAACACCUUAAUAACAUCUCAUAAAUAAAUGCAGAAAUAAAUACCUGCAAAUGUGAGAUUAAACAAUAAUUUACAUUCAUGUUUGUUUGUAAUCAGCUUUGUACAUUUUGUUCUUUUUUUAUUAUGACAAUAAACAAACUUUGCUUUAUUAAUGAUUAA